AGUGAAUAGAUACCCUGGUAGUCCCAGCUGUAAACGAUGCGCGUUAGGUGUAUCGGUGACCACGAGUCACCGAGGUGCCGAAGGGAAACCGUGAAACGUGCCGCCUGGGAAGUACGGUCGCAAGGCUGAAACUUAAAGGAAUUGGCGGGGGAGCACCACAACAGGUGGAGCCUGCGGUUUAAUCGGACUCAACGCCGGGAAGCUCACCGGAUAAGACAGCUGAAUGAUAGCCGGGUUGAAGACUCUGCUUGACUAGCUGAGAGGAGGUGCAUGGCCGUCGUCAGUUCGUACUGUGAAGCAUCCUGUUAAGUCAGGCAACGAGCGAGACCCACGCCAACAGUUGCCAGCAUGUCCUCCGGGAUGGUGGGGACACUGUUGGGACCGCCUCUGCUAAAGAGGAGGAAGGAACGGGCAACGGUAGGUCAGCAUGCCCCGAAUUAUCCGGGCUACACGCGGGCUACAAUGGUCAGGACAAUGGGUAUCAACACCGAAAGGUGAAGGCAAUCUCCUAAACCUGUCCUUAGUUCGGAUUGUGGGCU
rnacentral:rRNA from 1 species